CCAGACUCCUACGGGAGGCAGCAGUGAGGAAUAUUGGUCAAUGGCCGAGAGGCUGAACCAGCCAAGUCGCGUGAGGGAAGACGGCCCUACGGGUUGUAAACCUCUUUUGUCGGGGAGCAAAGAGAGUCACGUGUGACUCAUUGAGAGUACCCGAAGAAAAAGCAUCGGCUAACUCCGUGCCAGCAGCCGCGGUAAUACGGAGGAUGCGAGCGUUAUCCGGAUUUAUUGGGUUUAAAGGGUGCGUAGGCGGAAUAUCAAGUCAGCGGUAAAAAUUCGGGGCUCAACCCCGUCGUGCCGUUGAAACUGGCGGGCUGGAGUUGGAGAGAAGUACGCGGAAUGCGCGGUGUAGCGGUGAAAUGCUUAGAUAUCGCGCAGAGCCCCGAUUGCGAAGGCAGCAUACCGGCGCCCAACUGACGCUGAAGCACGAAAGCGUGGGUAUCGAACAGGAUUAGAUACCCUUGUA
rnacentral:rRNA from 1 species